UACGGAGGGUGCAAGCGUUAUCCGGAUUCACUGGGUUUAAAGGGUGCGUAGGUGGGUUGGUAAGUCAGUGGUGAAAUCCCCGAGCUUAACUUGGGAACUGCCAUUGAUACUAUCAGUCUUGAAUACCGUGGAGGUUAGCGGAAUAUGUCAUGUAGCGGUGAAAUGCUUAGAUAUGACAUAGAACGCCAAUUGCGAAGGCAGCUGGCUACACGAAUAUUGACACUGAGGCACGAAAGCGUGGGGAUCAAACAGG
rnacentral:rRNA from 1 species